rnacentral:lncRNA from 1 species
GUGUGUGUGUGUGUGUGUGUGUGUGUGUGUGUGAGAGAGAGAGAAGAGAGAGAGAGAGAUAUUGUGUGUGUGUGUGUGUGUGUGAGAGAGAGAGAGAGAGAAAGAGAGAGAGAGAGAGAGAGAGAGAGAGAGAGUUUGUUUCUAGCCUAAUGGCAUGUAGAUAGGCCACAGGAGUGUUAUAGACCUGGGGGGAGUGCCUGGGUGAAUUGGAUGGAUGGAAAUUAUACAGGCUGGUCAAAAUGCCUUCAUGCCCACAGGCUUUUUGUUUAGUAUUUUUAUUAUUUUUUUAAUAUUUAUUUUUUAAUUUUUUGGUGGACACAACAUCUUUGUUUUAUUUUUAUGUGAGCCACAUCCCCAACCCCUUGUUUAGUUUUGUUUUAGCCUAAAUUUACCAUUGAAUACACAAAAUAUCUGACAUUCUUGAAGAAAGGCCUCUGAACUCUGGCACAGGCAUAAGGGUCUUAUUGUCUGAGCAGGAUUCUUUAAGUCUUGUGACAGAUUGCUUUCACAUUCUCUUCAGACUUAGGAACUUCUAGUCUUUGCCCAUGAACCCCUCCUUUUGGUUCAGUGAGGAGUGGGCUUUUCCUCUGGGGGUCAGUAUUAUCUACAUACUCUGCUGAGCAUAUCAAUGAGAUAUCUACUCAUGGAAUGAGAUAGACUCAAUACUAUACAGGACUGAGCUCUUUUGUUGUGAACCUUCUGAGAACCUCAGUGUAUUCCCUUUGUCUCUGAGUUUAGGUACAUGUUACUGAUAACUGGUCUACAGUGCAGGAAAAAAAGCAAACGUGGCUUUGCACCCCUCGUCCUUCUACUGACUAGUUGUGUCCUUGAUCCCUGUUGUUUCACUUAUAAAAUGUGAUAGCAGCAUCUGCUUUGCAGUGUUGUUGUGAGGAUUACUAGAGAGAAUAGGUGUGAACAAAGUGCCUGGCGUGCAGUUGUCAAGAACCAUGACUCUGAGACAGCCCUUUUGAUAUAUUCGCUUGAAGACAGUGGUAGAAUAUAAAUCUCAGAAUUUAUAAAAUUCAGAUAAACUUGUUUUUAAUUUGAUGCUAUUUAUGCUAUUUUUUUAUUCUGAGGUCCCCAUCUGCCCUGUCGCUCCUCUCCUCAGCCAAGGAAAUCACUUGCUUCUCCUUUGUCCACCAAGACAUUUCAUGUAAACCUGCAAAUCUCUGCAAAUCUGCUUCCCCUAAGCACUUAGACUUUUUGUAGAACAAAAGCUGGAAUAAUUCAUGGUCACCUUUGGUUUCCUGCCCUGCUCCAUUUCUUACCUUAAUUAUAGAAAUCUCGAAGAGCUAAGUACAGCUGACAUAUGGCCUACCCCUCUCUAGGAGGGACAGAAAAGGAAACUAGCAUUCGGGGUCCAGAAAAUAUGAGUUAUCAUCUUAAAAUAUUAUCCACCUUAAAAUUAUCCAUCUUAAAAUAUUAUCAAUAUUAAAAUGUUAGCCAUUAUGAAACUGGUAUAUUUUGUCUAAAUAUCUGACCUUUAACCUUUUUGAAGUUUAAUGUGUGCAGAAGACAUCCUCCCAGCCCCCCACUGACCUGUAUAUUGCCUUUGAGCGUGUUGGGGAACAGGCAGCCCCUGCUCCAACCCCCACCCCACACACAGACUCUGCCCACACAAGGGCUCAGAAAGCUCCUGCCCCUUCUCCGUCAGCUGGACACAUCCCUUGUGUGUGUGUGUGUGUGUGUGUGUACAGGGCCACAAUUUGCACAACUAACCCCGGGAAACCCUGACUUCCCCUCUUCCUCAAGUCUGAGGCUCAAGAAAGGUGAGGGGCACUUCACUACUAAUAAAGGUUGUCUUAUUCUGCAGAUGAAGUCUCUCAGGUAACCUCUUAGAGCUGCCUUCAGAAGAAUAGAUGAAAAUCCUGUCAGGGUGUGGUAACAACUAUUAAUCUCUUCUCUGUGCUUUUGUGGGGUUUCUGAUCAGG